rnacentral:rRNA from 1 species
CCUACGGGAGGCAGCAGUGGGGGAUAUUGCACAAUGGGGGGAACCCUGAUGCAGCGACGCCGCGUGGGUGAAGGAGUAUUUCGGUAUGUAAAGCUCUAUCGGCAGGGAAGAAAAUGGACGGUACCUGACUAAGAAGCCCCGGCUAACUACGUGCCAGCAGCGGCGGUAAUACGUAGGGGGCAAGCGUUAUCCGGAUUCACUGGGGGUAAAGGGAGCGUAGACGGCAAGGCAAGCCUGGAGUGAAAGCCCGGGGCCCAACCCCGGGACUGCUCUGGGAACUGUCGGGCUCGAGUGCGGGAGGGGCAGACGGAAUUCCGGGUGUAGCGGUGAAAUGCGUAGAUAUCAGGAGGAACACCAGUGGCGAAGGCGGUCUGCUGGACAGCGACUGACGUUGAGGCUCGAAAGCGUGGGGAGCAAACAGGAUUAGAUACCCUGGUAGUC